GCAGAUGUAGCUCAGUGGUAGAGCACUUGUCUGUCAUGCAGGAGGCCCAUGGUUCAAUCCCAUCCACCCA
rnacentral:tRNA from 2 species